UGAACCGUUCAGGUUACUUGCAUGGAGUUGGUGCUUAAAUGUUCCUCAACUUAAAAGGGAUGAGGAGACCUUGGAGACGGUUCUGAGGAGACUCAAAAGAUGAUUAUAUGAUUGGAAGUCAGUCCUAUGAGGAAAGGUUGAGAGAAUGAAAGGUUAAGAGGCAACUUAAUAACUCUUCAAAAAACAUGAAUGGAUCCAUUAUUAGGAAUGGUAACCAGCGGUUUCCCAGCUCCACUGACAGCAGAAUAAGAGAAAAUAGGUUUAAACCGAAAUCAGGAGUAGUUGUGUAAAGAACUUAUUGGUAAUGAUGGUUGUCAUUACAGUCAUGGUAAAAAGGUUACCAAAAUAAUUUUAUUAUCUUCUCUGGAAGUAUAUUUUAAAAGUACAGUCCUGCCUACAUAUGUAUAAAAUGACCUCUUAAGCUACCUUUUCCUUCUGUGAAUCAGUAAAUAAAUUCUUAUUCAGCUCCUCGAAGCAAUAAUUACUUUCCAGUAGGAAGCUUCCAGAGAUAUUUCUUUAGGAAGUAAUGGUUUUUGUAGUGGCUUUAUAGGAGAAUACAAAUUUUUAAGUGGAGCUAAGAGAGAAAUCUUAAACAUCAAGAGAAACCAAGGAAAACAGUAGGUGUGGUAUCAAUAUAGGAAACAAAUAAGUAUUUGUAGCUUUUAUGUCCAUUUUCAGUUGUCAUUUAAAGAGGUAUAGUUCAGAAUAGCUCUUGUUAAGGCUGUCACUGCUUGUGGAUACAUUGUAACAAAUGCUUAUAAAUCAUUUCCAAACUAAUAGAAGUUUGCUUCAUGUUAGUUAGUAUUAUAAAAGCCUCUGACCCUUGGCUUUUGAGGCUGUGUAGAGGGCUUGCAUCACUCAGAAUGAAACCUUUUUAGAUAUGUUGGGUUGCAGAAAGCAUUUCCUGUACAGUCAGAAUGAAAACUUGAAUUGGGAUUAUUCAUAUAGAUUACCAAAAGUCUGGGCAGAGCUGAUAUUACC
rnacentral:lncRNA from 10 species